GACGAACGCUGGCGGCGUGCUUAACACAUGCAAGUCGAACGGAAAGGCCCUGCUUUUGUGGUGUGCUCGAGUGUCGAACGGGUGAGUAACACGUGAGUAACCUGCCCUUUACUUUGGGAUAACUUCAGGAAACUGGGGCUAAUACCGGAUAGGAGCUCCUGCUGCAUGGUGGGGGUUGGAAAGUUUCGGCGGUUGGGGAUGGACUCGCGGCUUAUCAGCUUGUUGGUGGGGUAGUGGCUUACCAAGGCUUUGACGGGUAGCCGGCCUGAGAGGGUGACCGGCCACAUUGGGACUGAGAUACGGCCCAGACUCCUACGGGAGGCAGCAGUGGGGAAUAUUGCACAAUGGGCGGAAGCCUGAUGCAGCAACGCCGCGUGCGGGAUGACGGCCUUCGGGUUGUAAACCGCUUUCGCCUGUGACGAAGCGUGAGUGACGGUAAUGGGUAAAGAAGCACCGGCUAACUACGUG
rnacentral:rRNA from 1 species